UUUAGGGUUAUUGUAAGUUCCUUCGAUCAUUCGGUUAUAUAAUAUUGAUGCAGCUUAACAGCAAAUCCGAAUGACUUGUUAAUGAUGUGAAUUUCCAUCAGUAUGGAAUUGUAGUACCAUCAUAGUUGAAAAAAAAUCCAUUAUUUUCGGGCUUCAAAUUGUCUACAACUUUCAACAUAUCUGAAGCGCUUUGGUCUGGUGCCAAGGCCUGUUUCGCAAAGAUAUCUAAAAUUUCCGGUUUCGCUUCAGCAUGCUGAUUUACAGCUUCCUGAGCUGAAUCGGUUCGAACCAUUCCGGGAUGAAUUGAAAUCACUAUGAAUCCUUCAUCUUGUAGCUCAAAACUAAUUUCCUUCAUUGUAAAAUUUAAAGCAGCCUUGGAUUGGCCAUAACCAGAUUGGUUAAAUGGGAAGAAAGCACCCAUGGAUCCAACUAAUGAUGAAGUAAAAACAAUGAUUUUAGAUUCUCCUUUCUUCACAAGAGGAUAAAAGGCUUGGUAGACAUGAAUUGGUCCUAAAACAUUGGUUUUAUAGUGAGAGUUCCAGACAUCAUCAGGAGUAUUCAGAACAGUGUUGAAAGAAUGAAAAAUGCCCGAAUUUACCCAAAGAACAUCUACUUUACCUACAGCUUUUGCAACUUCUUGAGCGGCUUCAUUAGCACUCUCUAGAGAGGAGAUAUCUAACUUAAUAAUAUGCACAUUGGAAUGAGACUUGCUCCAUUCUUGUAAUUCAGUAGCAGCUUCAGGCUUGCGGGCACUUGCAAAUACAACUGUUCCUUCUCUGUUGCUCAAUUCCUUAACAAGAGAGAGUCCAAUGCCUCGAUUUCCUCCUGCAAUAAAGUAAAUUUUGUUGGUAGUAGACAUAUUCUAACACAAUAUUUGAAUGAUCCUUGAAUCCGUUUGAAAAGUGUAAUUUGGUGUCGGCAAUUUAUCAUUAACUUCGUGCUUAUAUACCAAUUCUUCAAAUCAUUAUGCUUACGUGAUUUGAACCGUGAAUUUUGAUGCUUACAUAAUUGAAUAUACUUCCAAAAUCAGCAGGUUCAUAGUAGUUCACGUAGAGCGUUAGGUGAUAUUUUGCCAUAUAAUAUGGAUAUUGCAACUAAUCUUUAUAACCCGUUCCAUUGGUUUGUCAGCUGCUUCCUUGAUACUGCUUGCAUACUGAAUAGUAUUCCUUUAAAUGCACCUUUCUUUUAAUUUCCUUGAUAAAGUAUCAUAAAGGGAGAAUUUAUUUGAAAAUUGUUUAAUUGAUAAUGCUGAGACAUUGGCCAUAGGAGAAAAGCGUUGA